UUUCACUUCAACAUGACCAGUGGUGCUCGGAUGAUACCUCGUUUGUCUUUAGGGUGUGGAUAUGAUCAGUUACCUGGUCAAUCUUAUCAUCCUUUGGAUGGAGUGCUUGGUCUUGGGAGAGGAAAAACCAGCAUUGUGUCUCAGCUUCACAGCAAGGGUGCGGUGCAAAAUGUGGUAGGUCAUUGCUUGAGUGGUAGAGGAGGAGGCUUUCUCUUCUUUGGAG
rnacentral:misc_RNA from 1 species